AUUGAACGCUGGCGGCAGGCUUAACACAUACAAGUCGAGCGGAGAUGAGGUGCUUGCACCUUAUCUUAGCGGCGGACGGGUGAGUAAUGCUUAGGAAUCUGCCUAUUAGUGGGGGACAACAUUCCGAAAGGAAUGCUAAUACCGCAUACGUCCUACGGGAGAAAGCAGGGGAUCUUCGGACCUUGCGCUAAUAGAUGAGCCUAAGUCGGAUCAGCUAGUUGGUGGGGUAAAGGCCUACCAAGGCGACGAUCUGUAGCGGGUCUGAGAGGAUGAUCUGCCACACUGGGACUGAGACACGGCCCAGACUCCUACGGGAGGCAGCAGUGGGGAAUAUUGGACAAUGGGGGGAACCCUGAUCCAGCCAUGCCGCGUGUGUGAAGAAGGCCUUAUGGUUGUAAAGCACUUUAAGCGAGGAGGAGGCUACUGAGACUAAUACUCUUGGAUAGUGGACGUUACUCGCAGAAUAAGCACCGGCUAACUCUGUGCCAGCCGCCGCGGUAACAC
rnacentral:rRNA from 1 species